rnacentral:rRNA from 1 species
UAUUGCGCAAUGGGGGAAACCCUGACGCAGCAACGCCGCGUGAAGGAAGACGGUUUUCGGAUUGUAAACUUCUUUGACGAGGGACGAUAAUGACGGUACCCCGAAAACAAGCCACGGCUAACUACGUGCCAGCAGCCGCGGUAAUACGUAGGUGGCGAGCGUUGUCCGGAAUUACUGGGUGUAAAGGGCGAGUAGGCGGACAUACAAGUCAGAAGUGAAAUCUAGGGGCUCAACCCCUAAACUGCUUUUGAAACUGUAUGCCUUGAGUGCCGGAGAGGAAAGCGGAAUUCCUAGUGUAGCGGUGAAAUGCGUAGAUAUUAGGAGGAACACCAGUGGCGAAGGCGGCUUUCUGGACGGUAACUGACGCUGAGGCGCGAAAGCGUGGGGAGCAAACAGG